rnacentral:rRNA from 1 species
UGAACGCUGGCGGCGUGCCUAAUACAUGCACGUCGAGCGAACAGACGAGGAGCUUGCUCCUCUGACGUUAGCGGCGGACGGGUGAGUAACACGUGGAUAACCUACCUAUAAGACUGGGAUAACUUCGGGAAACCGGAGCUAAUACCGGAUAAUAUAUUGAACCGCAUGGUUCAAUAGUGAAAGACGGUUUUGCUGUCACUUAUAGAUGGAUCCGCGCCGCAUUAGCUAGUUGGUAAGGUAACGGCUUACCAAGGCAACGAUGCGUAGCCGACCUGAGAGGGUGAUCGGCCACACUGGAACUGAGACACGGUCCAGACUCCUACGGGAGGCAGCAGUAGGGAAUCUUCCGCAAUGGGCGAAAGCCUGACGGAGCAACGCCGCGUGAGUGAUGAAGGUCUUCGGAUCGUAAAACUCUGUUAUUAGGGAAGAACAAAUGUGUAAGUAACUAUGCACGUCUUGACGGUACCUAAUCAGAAAGCCACGGCUAACUACG